rnacentral:rRNA from 1 species
UUGGAGGGCAAGUCUGGUGCCAGCAGCCGCGGUAAUUCCAGCUCCAAUAGCGUAUAUUAAAGUUGUUGCAGUUAAAAAGCUCGUAGUUGAAUUUCGGGAUUCUUCCGUUGGUCAGGCUAACAAGUCUGUACUAGCGUGUAGAAUCUCUACCUUCUGGGGAACCAUCAUGUUAUUAAUUUAGCGUGGUGGGAAACCAGGACCUUUACCUUGAAAAAAUUAGAGUGUUCAAAGCAGGCUUACGUCUGAAUACAUUAGCAUGGAAUAAUAAAAUAGGACGGUGGUCCUGUUUUGUUGGUUUCUGAAUCACCGUAAUGAUUAAUAGGGAUAGUUGGGGGCAUUAGUAUUCAAUUGUCAGAGGUGAAAUUCUUGGAUUUAUUGAAGACUAACUUCUGCGAAAGCAUUUGCCAAGGAUGUUUUCAUUAAUCAAGAACGAAAGUUAGGGGAUCGAAGACGAUCAGAUACCGUCGUAGUCUUAACCAUAAACUAUGCCGACUAGGGAUCGGACGAUGUUAAAUUUUAUUGACUCGUUCGGCGCCUUACGGGAAAC